CGACGGGUUGCGCCCUUUUUCGUCGGAUUGCAAGAUUUUACUUUGAAUAAAUUAGAGCGUUCAAAGCAGGCGAAAUCGUCUUGAAUACGUUAGCAUGGGAUAAUAGAAUAGGACCGUAAGAAUUUUUUCGGUUUAACGUUUACUGGUUUCUAAAGCCGAGGUAAUGAUUAAUAGGGACAGUUGGGGUCGCUCGUACUCGGCGGUCAGAGGUGAAAUUCUAAGACCCGCCGAAGACGAACAAGUGCGAAGGCAUUCGACAAGGAUGUUUUCUUUAAUCAAGAACGAAAGUUAUGGGAUCGAAGAUGAUCAGAUACCGUCGUAGUCAUAACCGUAAACUAUGUUGACUCGGGAUCCGAAGAAGUUACAUGGAUGACUCUUCGGGCACCGUGUGCGAAAGCACAAGUAUUCGAACUCCGGGGGGAGUAUGGUCGCAAGGCUGAAACUUAAAGGAAUUGACGGAAGGGCACCACCAGGUGUGGAAUCUGCGGCUUAAUUUGACCCAACACGGGGAAACUUACCCAGUCCGGACGCUACGAGGAUUGACAGAUUGAUAGUUCUUUCUUGAUUUUGUGGAAGCCGGUGCAUGGCCGUUUUUAGUUGGUGGAGUGAUUUGUCUGGUUAAGUCCGAUAACGAACGAGACCUAAUUUUGUUAAAUAGUACUGCCAACAAGGGGGUCGCCGGUCGUUUCGGUCGCGGGUUUUCGCCCGCGCUCGUGCGAUCGGGGCCUCCGCUCGUUUUGUUGGUAGCUAGAUUUACUUCUUAGAGAGACUCUUGGUCGAUAACAGCAGCCAAUGGAAGCUUUAGGCAAAAACAGGUCUGUGAUGCCGCUAGAUGUCUGGGGCUGCACGCGCGUUACACUGACGUGUUCAACGAGUAUUUUAGAAUUACCUGGCCCGAGGGGGUUUCCGGCAAUCUCUAAAAGCACGUCGUGAUGGGGAUCGUGCCUUGUAACUAUUGCACGUGAACGAGGAAUACCUAGUAAGGGCAAGUCAUCAACUUGCCCUGACUACGUCCCUGCCCUUUGUACACACCGCCCGUCGCUUCUACCGAUCGAACUACUCGAUGAGGACUCGGGAUGCGGAGCGAUGUCUCGGUUCUGCCGAGCGCGUUUCGCAGAACCUGUUCGAAUCUCGCAGUUUAGAGGAAGAAGAAGUCGUAACAAGGUCUCCGUAGGUGAACCUUCGGAGG
rnacentral:rRNA from 1 species